CAUCUCUAGAGGCUUACAGAAUACCUGAUCUACAGGUCUGGAUCACGACAGCUGAAGAAAUAUAGUUUGUGGGAAGUAACAUCAUCAAGAUGGUGACACAGGGUGUUCCUGACUUCACUCCCCAUCACAAGAAGAACAAGACACUCCUGACAGAAUCCUAGAACACAGUGGUGAAGCUGACACACCCACGCCCCACCGCAGCACAGAGACCAUGACAGACCGCAUCACACAGAUUCCUCCAACAGCAGCUAACCCAGAUGAACCAAGUCACCACCAACCAGAUGUUAC